CUAUCGGGUAAAGCCAAU
rnacentral:snRNA from 1 species